GGAUUUUAAUGCACAAUUUUGUUGAGAAGUCGGAGCUGGUUUACAUGCAUUAUUUUGUAUCUAUAAAUUGAUGAUUAUUUUUCUUGAAACAUUGCAACAAGAAUUUAUCAUUUAUACAAAACUUUGAGAUAGGUUGCAAAGGCUUAGAGAAGAGUUAUGGCUAAAAGUGAGAUGAAAUUCAUUGGAGUAGUGAUUCUGAUGAUGAUUAUAGUGGGCUCUACACAAGCUGAUAACAACAGCCCUGACUUGACUGGGUGUGAAGUUAAAUGUGGUUUCAAAUGCAUAGCAUAUUUCUAUAGUAAAAAAAAAUUUGACGAAUGUUGUCUCCCUUGUAUUCGAAAAUGUCAUCAUGAAAUGUCCAUUGAUGUUGUCUAUGAUUGCAUUACUGGUUGCCGCUUAACCAAGUCCAUUGAUGACAACAUUGAUGCUCGUGUUCUUACCGUUCAUGCAAUGGAUUCUUGUGUGCAAGAGUGCAAGAACAAGUAAGAGUUUGUUGCAAAAAUGCUCAGAAAAAAAUAUUAGUUGGAGAAAUAAUAUGUAUCCAUGUUUGUAAUAAAUAAUUCUUAAUAAAUAUGUAAUAUCUCAUCUUUAUUUUCCGUAAA